CAAGAUUUGUACACAAAAUGCCACACGUGAUUGUGUACACACAUGAAGCACUAAUAGAACGAAUCUGCCAGUAAUUCAAGCGGCAGCGAGACAUCGACAGAGAUUGCAGGGAGCAGAGUCGGUACAGCAUUUGCUGUGAUCCUGGUAGAGUCGACAACGUUUGCAGAGCACACAUUAUUUUCAACAAUUCUGGAUUCAUUACUAUUGUACUGCCAAGUGGAAUAUUACAAAGUGUACUUCUCGUCGCAACGCUGAACUUUUCAUUGCUGGGCAAAGAUUUGGAUUCUUAAAUGUUCCUGCUGUUGAUAGUGAAGUGGAAUACUAGGAAUGACACGGCAACAUCGAAACCCUAAUCAUUGUGGUGAUGGUUGCAAGUUCCUGGAUUGAUUACUUGGCUUGGAACAUUUUGUUCAAAACUUCUUGCAAGAACUGAUUGAUGGUCGAAAUUAUGUUUAUCAAUUGAACAAUGGAAAGCCUACAGGAUGAUCAUCAAUUGCAUAAAAUUGUCUUUUUAAGAACAGCAUGAUGAUGACCUGAUAUCUUGACAGCAAAUCCUGCAAUAUCCUAAUCAGCAUCAGAUUUGCUUCAUUUAUUGAUUAACGUGUAAACUACUAGUGGUGUACUAAUGAUUAAUUGUAGAAAAGUGAUUGAUUCUAUUGGAAUUAAAUGUGAAGGAAGUAGCACAGAUCUGCAAUGAUUGUUGACUGAGUGAUAAUCACCUUCCUUUCACACCCUUGGUAGUACAGUACAACUGAGCUGUCUCAACUCAAGAAAGCAUCAGCAGUGUUACCAAGCAUUUUUGACUGCACAAACUCUUUUUAAGAACAUGGAAGUGAACAAUAUUAUGUGGCUACUAGCUGCCUUCCUAUGCCUCAUGACCUCUCAAGUGGAAAGUAGGUCAAAGUCAAAGGGCAGGGAUAGGUCAGAGGUCAAAGACGGGUCAAGAUCAAGAGGACAUCAAAGGCUGAGCUUCCUUCCGCCCGUCUCUGGGUCUUCGAAGAAACCCAACAUCAUCCUGAUCCUCACCGAUGAUCAGGAUGUUGUAUUAGGUUCUAUGACAGCUAUGAACAAGACUCGUUUUCACCUUGGUAGCAGAGGGGCGGAGUUCACCAAUGCCUUUGUGACCACGCCCAUGUGCUGCCCCUCUCGGAGUAGCAUCUUGACCGGUCAGUACGUCCACAACCAUCAGGUGUUCUCAAACAUAGGGGAGUACUGUGGCUCAGACGAAUGGAGGAUGGGGCCGGAGAUGGCUAACUUUGGAACUUACUUGCAAGGGGCCAAUUAUAGAACAGGGUACUUUGGCAAAUAUCUGAAUGAGUACAGGGGUGACUACAUUCCACCAGGCUGGGUUGAGUGGGUUGGACUGGUCAAGAAUUCUAAGUUCUACAACUAUACCCUGUGUAGGAACGGUCAAUUGAUGAGACAUGGAUUCAACUAUCACAGAGACUACCUCCCAGAUCUUAUAGCCAAUGACAGCGUGGCAUUCUUCAAACUUUCCAAGAGGGCGUAUCCACGGUUACCUGUUGCCAUGGUGCUGUCGUUCCCAUCUCCACAUGGACCCGAGGAUGGUGCCCCUCAGUAUCAGAACAUGUUUGCUGGUAACAAGCUACACAGGACACCAGCUUGGAACUAUGGUCCCAAUGAGGACAAACAUUGGAUCAUACGUCAGGCAAGCUCGAUGACAAAAGUGGAGAGAGAUUUCACUGAUGCACUGCAGAGAAAACGUUUGAUCACGCUGCUUUCUGUAGAUGAUGCCAUAGAAAAGCUUUGUCAAGAAUUGGAAUUGUUAGGAGAGUUGGAUAAUACCUAUAUACUGAUGACUUCUGAUCAUGGCUAUCAUCUUGGUCAGUUCAACAUGCUGAAAGGGAAAUCCAAUGCAUAUGAUACUGAUAUCAGAGUACCAUUUUAUAUCAGAGGUCCUGACGUACCCCAUGGUAUCAGAGUUCCAAAUAUAGUGUUGAACAUAGACCUGGCACCUACCAUGUUGGAUAUGGCGGGGGUGAAUAUUCCACCGCACAUGGAUGGAACAUCAAUCAUGAAAUUAUUCAAACCUAUAUCAAACUACAAAAUUGCCAGGAAAAGCAAGAAAUGGAAAUAUAUUGGGAAUGAGCCCUGGAGAGAGUCAUUCCUAGUGGAGAAAACGAGAUCACCAGAAGAAAUGGGACGCUAUAUGGAACGUGUGAACAGACCCACCAAAGCAGAGUUACUUAAACAAGAGUGUGAAAACCCAGAUCUCCAACCACCAUGCAAAUGGGGACAGUCCAAGGUGUGUGUCGAGGAUCCGGACGGCUCCCUCCAUCUGCGCAAGUGCCGCUCCAAGAGUAAGAAGAAGUGUGUUUGUACCCCGCCCCCUGUGGUGACUGGAGGUUUCAAGGACAUGUCCAAGACCGAGAGGAGACAGCAGAGGAAGAUCCUCAAGCUCCGUAGCAACUCCAACAAGGGUGGUUCUAAAUCCAGGAGUUCUGUACGAGGGAAAAGAGAUACCCCUGCAGAGGAUGAAGAGGAUGAUAUCAACAACGAGGUCAUUGACAAUGCAGGUCUGGAGACUAUGUGUGAGAUCCUGCAGAAUGAGACAAUCAUCUGUGAUAAUGAGGUAUUUUCUUCCAGGCAGGCUUGGAAGGAGCACAGGAAAUCGGUAGAAAACCAGCUGAGAUACCUGAGGCGCUACAUGGACAAACUCAAGGAAAUCAAGACUUUCCUGAAGAAUUACCGCCCAGAAAAGGAGCUCCUGGACACAUUCCCUGGGGAGAAAACGGCCUUCAGCAUCGAGCUUUCAGAAGAGCAAGAUUUCCUCACAGAUGUUGGUGAAGGCAUGCCAAGAGGUCAGAUUCAGAGUACAGCAACUCCUCCCCAAGAAAGAACUGUUUCAUCAAGCGUCCUGAGAAACUUUGAGAACAUUGGACAAAACACUGUCUCAGACACCCAGAGAGAGGACGUGGAAGCAGAUAGUGAACAAAGAGAGACAGGCCCUGACAAGAACAAAGACAGAACUAGAGUGGAAGACCCCAUUAGAGGGCGUCCUAAUGGAAAAAAAGAGCCAGCAAUGGAUCCUGAAGUUGGAGUCCUCGGGGAGGAGUGUACAUGUGAGGAUGUUGAGGUGUUAGAAGCAGAGGAUCAGGAUCUAGAGAUUGAGAUUCCCAUGAUCGAUCAGGAGGACAUCGUUGAUCCUGAGGAGGAUGACGAUGAUGAUGACGGCUCCAAGGAUGGUGAAGACAAUGUGGAGGAUUAUAUUGAGAGUCCAUUGCUACAGAUGCAGAGGGAUGACCAAAACCAAGUUCUGACCAAGUCGGAGAGAUUAAAGGCCAAAGCCAGAGCUAAGAAGCUGAAGAGGAAAGUCAUCAUACAGGAGAGGAAACCUUGCAAGCAAUCCAGGCUCAGCUGCUUCCAUUUCGACAAUGAUCAUUGGAAGACUCCUCCAUUCUGGACUGAGGGCACUAUUUGUGCCUGCCUCAACACCAUGAACAACUCUUACUACUGCGUCAGAACUAUCAACGCAACGCAUAACUUCUUAUAUUGUGAAUAUGUCACAGAUUUUGUCGAGUACUUUGAUAUGAGGCUCGGUGUAGAUCCACACCAGCUUGUCAACAUAGUGUCCAGUCUAGAUCCUGUAAUGCAGGCAGAACUACAUGACCAAAUAGAUGUAUUGAGGACGUGUAGAGGGAAAAAAUGUUCACCAUCAUUGAAGAGGAGAAAAGGAUCAAGAAAAAAUGGUGUAUCACAGCCUACAUCAUUCUGGCAGACGUUACCCCAGACGAGCAGGUAUCGACCGUAACCCUCGCAAAGAAAACUGCUCAAGCUGCUGAUGCCUAACCUAACCAAAAAUGUCGAGAACUAUGGAACGGCUGGGAAGGCUAGCCCUUCAAUGAAGAGCUUCAUUACCCAUGCAGACACCGGUGUCUACAUGUCAAUACCAACAGGAUUAUUAUGCAUUCUACAUUAGUGUUUUGUUUUAUCCCAUCGUGAUAAUGGACUGCAAUACAUCCUUUGCAUGUUUUAUAUUGUCAGUGAUCUUCAGAAGCCCAUUUUUAAUUCUGAAUGGUAUCUAUCUUCUUUUCAGAUUUUUAAGCUUGUAGGAUUUAUUUCAAGGCUACCAAAAUGUACAAAAACCCAAACCUCCCCCGAUUUUAGAUGAAAAGGGAGGGAGUGGGUUACUUUGAUAUCAGAGGUUUAUUUUACCUUUUUGUAGAUAGUAUUUUUCCAAUUUUUUUGCAAUAUGAAGUCUAAUAACAUUAUAACAAGAUAAGCUUCACUUUGCUUUGAGAAUUUGUUUUCUCAUAUAAAGGAAAAAACGAACAAUGAAAUUAAAAUCAUGAUUUCCAUGUAGUACAUACAUGUAUAUGUAACUAAUAUACCUUUAUAUGAUUAUAAUUUCAAUUCAUUAUAUUUUUUCAUAAAGGAACAUGACAUGUUUGAAAGAUAUUGAGCAUUUGAUUCAUUACUUUAAAAAAAUGUUCAAUAUCUUAUAAACAUGUACUGGUAUAUCAUGUUCCUUUAUGGAAAGUAACAUGAAUAAAACAGGAAGUAAUUAAUAAUUUUAUUAUCUAACAACACUUGUGACAUCUAUAUAUCCACCGUCCAAUCUUGAUUUUAUGAACCAUGUUGUGUCCAUUUUAUAGUUGAGACUGAAUUUGAGAUGUAUUCAUUAUACAGUAUAUUUACAAAAUUAAUGAUAGGCAAUGUUUUUUUUAAUAGAUUCAAGCAGCAAAUGUAUUGUUCUGUAUGAGAUAACUAUUGUAUUAGCCCCUUUAUUGAUCUGUAUGGGAUAACUAUUGUAUUAGCCCCUAGUUAAAUUAUGUGAUGUCAAAUAGCCAUGUAAAUGGUCGCAUCUAUUAAACAAGUCAUAGGAGUCAUUUUCACAGACAUAUUUUAUACUCUUAGAAUGACUUUGAAGUCGUAACCCAGAACGUUUGGGCAGAAUACACUUCCUAACAUGCUUUCAUAGCAUUUACAGAAAUGCAGUUCUCUAAAAUUCAUUGUCUGAGAUGUUUUAAAAAUAUUUUGAUCUGUAUCAAUGAAAUCAGUGUAAUAAAUGAUACUGAUAAAAUGAUACAUAUGCUUCUAUCCUGCAGCUCAUAAUAGGAAUCUGCAUUAACUUUGACUGUACAUAGUUAACAGUGUGGUCUAUACGAGGCAUAUUACAUUGGCAUGGUCUAAUUUAUAUUCACCAUUUGAACUCCCUUUUACGACAUGUAUGUCAUCGCAAAGUGGUUCGAGUGGGUGGUUUUUUAUGUUUACAUUUGUAAGUAUAAGUAAAGUAUUUAUUAUACAUUUUAUAAAUGUGACUAGCAUCCAAUCAUCUUAUCUCUCAGUAAGACAUAUAAUUUGGUUCUUGGAUUCCUACAAUGUGUGUUCUCAUAAUGCUGCCAUAAGUAAAAUUCUGAAUAUCAAGAAUAUAGUUUUGUUAAUUGUGAACUUUAUUGUAAUUCAACUCAAUUUUAAUGUUCCUUCUGUAAUGUAGCAUGAUUAUACUAACGUCGGGUAAGAUGUUUCUUGCAAUAGUAUCUGUAAUUCUUCUGUUGUUAUUGUAAUAAAAUACCCAUUACCAUAUAGGGCACAAUGUAUUCAAGUGAGUUCCAAAUACCGAUAUCGUAUAUGUUUUAUGUGAUCAUUAUUAUAAGAGAUGUGUUGUAUUUUGUAUGAUUCUAUUAAGCAAUAUAUGACUAUUGUAAUGAAGAGAUCCUUUUCUAUGCAAUUUCUUAUAACUCUUCCUUUCAAAAUUAAGAUAUGCAACAUGGAAUCUCUACCUUUUUUUAAGGAAAGUGGAAUUUUCCUUAUUUGAGUGAUAAUCAACCCUAUAACCAAUUAACCAAUCUUUAAUAUAUCAUAUCUAUGAUUUGUUUUUUAUAUAACAUAUUUGUUAUAUAUUUAAGAAUUUGAUGGUUCUGCGCCAACUCAUGGUAAGAGCCUCAAAGCCUGUAUUGAAUUGUAGUAAAUCGAAACAUAAUUCAAAGUUGGAUUUGUUGCCUGAUAAAAUUGUAAGAGCGUAUACAAAAUAAUACAUGUAUAUGGAAGAUUCAAUUUAAAAUCUGAUAUGCGAAAAAUUUACAAUUAAAGUGUCGGAAAAGGAAACCAGGUGCCAGGCAAUAGUUCAUUGUCUUGGCAUAAACCUACCUCUCUAGUAUUGAAAGGAAUGAAAACUUCAGGACAGGAUACCUUUUGUCUUAAUGUAAAGUUUCUGAUAGAAAGUAAUUAAAUCUUUAAAAAGAAAUAUUUGAAGGUUAUUAUCAUGCUGAAUAUUUACUUUACUGCAAAACAAGAGAGGGGGG